rnacentral:lncRNA from 1 species
UGCAAAAUGGCGCACAAACAUUUGAUAUUGGUCUUUUGUUAAAUCUGGGAUUGGGCUAGAGUCUGUAUCUGCAAAUGCAACCGUGGACUUCCCUUUUUCAGUCUUCUUGUUGGGCCACCAGUCUGGGUAGCCCACCAGUUUAAAACAACCAUCGCGUUUAUGCCCUGAGCAAUUACAAUGAGUACAGUAAUCGUUCUCCUUCUUCUCUUUCUGGAUCUUCCAGUUGUUCUUCUGAUUGAAAGUCGGAUUUUUCCCUUGACUGGUCUUGAAUGUUGCAGCCUUCGGCGCCGAUCUGCUUUCACCGGAAAUAGAUCUCUGUCUCUCGUCCUCUGCAACCAGGUGGUACACCGCUCCCAAGGAUGGAAUCGGUUUGGUCGCUAGAAUCUGGGUUCUAAUUACGUUGAAAUCAGAGUCGAGCCCCAUUAGAAAUUGAUAAAGGCACUCCUUUUCUUGGUACUCUAGCAUCCGUUUCCCGUUUUUGCAGGUACAAUUCUUGCAAGUGCACACCGGAAGUGGCAAGAUCGACGACGCCUCAUCCCAUAAGGACCUCAGAUUGGUGUAGUAAGUUGAGACAGUCGUUCCGCUUUGUCGAGCAGCGGAUAUUUUUUGUCUCAAUUCGUACGCCCUUGGUGAGCUUUCUUUUCCAAAUCUCUCAUGCAAAUCCUUCCACAUCUGUGAGGCAGUCGUAGAAUAUUUGACACUAUCCUGUAUCGUUUUUCCAUUGCGGUGGCGAGCCAGCCUUUCACCAUGGCAUCGCACCGCAUCCACGGCAUGUAUUCGGGAGUCCCCUUUUCUGGUUUUGCAAGAGUUCCAUCAACAAACUCUAUUUUGUUCUUUGCAAAUAGGAAAUUUUGCAUCUCCUGUGCCCAAUCGACAUAAUUGGAAUCUGUGAGGAUGUCGUUGACAUGUAGUUGUUUUGGUACGUCAGAUGGAUGCAGAUAAUAGGGAGAAUUGUGAUCAAUGGGGUUGCUGGAGCUUCCUCCUUCUGUCUUCUUUUCGCCUGACAUCGAUUAAGAUACAGGUGAUGUUGUUUUGUUGUUUUGUUGUGUUUUAGAAUUUCUUGAACCGCUUUGAUACCAUCAUAAAUUUGAUGGUAUUGAAUUGUUGGUUUUCUCCUCUUCAUCGACAGAUCCCAUAAUGGGAUUAAAAAGAUACAAAGUUCCUAAACUAUUGGAAAAGAAAACGGAUAAAGCUAAUCUAAUCUAUCUAGCUCAACAUGAUAAAAGUUAUCAAGAAACUUAAAUUUUAAACAUAAAUUAAAUAUUAUCUAUUUCUAGUGCAUGAAUAAAAUGAUACGUCUGAUUUGUAAAGUAUCUUAUGAAAUAUUUAUGAAUUGCAUGUUGUGAAUGAAAUGUUAUUGAAAAGAAUGUGGUGUGUUAAUGCAUACAUAAUGUAAUUUAAUAUUUUAUCGACCCUUACUUGGAAUAUACUAUAUGUCCUUUUUAAAGCUCCUCAAUGCGGUUGGGGUCUAAUUUCUUUUGAGAAGCCGAUUUGGGUAAAAAAAAAAAAGAAAGAAUGUUGUGGAUCCGAUGGGAUAAAGUAUUGCCUGAUUUUGAUAAAGGAUGUUUGGGGGUGGGUCUUUGGCAGGGUUCAAUCGAGCCUUACUUUUGAAAUGCCGUUGGAGAUUUAUUAGUAACGGGGGCGAUCUUUGGACGCGUGUUGUGAAGAUGGACAAUGUUGUUAGUGGAGGGAUUAUUGAUAUGUGAAAAGGCAGACGAGUUUGGUCUAGUAUAGUGCCUGUUAUUGAUCAAAUUCAUGAAGGAACAUAGUUGCUUUUGAUAAAAAAUAAAUAAAUAAACCUAGAUGAUGUAAGGGAGUUCCAAAGAAAGUUAGGGGCUGUUUAUUUUUGUCAGCAGAUCUGCGUGUCCUCUUUUGUCUGCAUCGUGUAGAUAUAAUGAUUUGCAGUGUGUGUGUUUCAGAAGUCCGCAGACAUAGAAACAUAUGUGCGAGUUCUUCAUGACAAUGACAUAGUCUUAAGUCUUCUUAUGUCUCCACGCUUUAUUAAACCUAAAAAAAUACUCACAUCUUUCUCUCCAUAUAUCGGCUUCCCUACAACAUCUCAUUCACCAGACAUCUUCCUCCUCUCCUUUACGGUGUCCUCCAGACCCGUGGUCGACGUCAUCGCCAUCUAGGAGGACGUCCAAAGCUACCGCCAACAUCCAUCAACACCUCCUUACCAUCGACAGCUCCCUCCACCAUCGAACAUCUGAUCUACCUUCGUCCACUCACAUCAACGCUGCUUGUCACGCCCUUCGUCUCCAUCGCACACCAUCUCACAAAUGACGGCGAUGUUUGCUGCUACCGAUAAGUUGUUAGUAAAAUUUUUUCCCCUAAAAUCGGAUGAUAUCUUUUUAGGGUUUGUUGUUAAUGCUCUGAAAUCAAGAUAUUCAUUGUUGCUAAUUAUCAUAUAUAUUUGCUGAAAAUCCAUAUAAUUUGUUGAGAUUGUUCUAAUUUGAUGUUAUAUUUGCUGAAAAUGUAUAUAAUUUGUUGAAAUGUUGAAAUCUGAUGUUAUUGCUGUUGGAACUAAUUUUUCUCUAUUAAUCUUUUGCUUAAUCUAGAUAUGUAUAUAAUUUGUUUAGCUAGGGAUUUUGUAUAUGGACAUUUUCUUAUUUAUAUUUUCUAGGGACAUACAAAUUUUCUAAAGUUUUAAAUUAUAAUGAAGAACAUCAUGCUUAAAUAUGAAAGUUUCUUGGUUUGAUCUGAAUUAUUAAUCACAUAACAUCUUCUAAUAUUGAUUUUGUUGUUUGUAGGUACUUGAAUUGGCUGGAAAUGCCAUUAGGGACAAGUAAAAUAGUCUAAGUUCAAGGCUUGUUUUGUUGGCAAUUAGAAAUGAUAGAAGAACUUGAGAAAUUCCUUUUCUUGAAACUGUAUAUAGAUCAUAUAUAUGAUAAGUUAGUGCGUUUAUUUUUAGUGCAUUUAUUUUUAUCGAGAUCUAUUGAUUUAACAACUAGUCUUUUAUGACUUAAAUAUAGAGCUUUUUUGUUUGAUGCAAUAUUUUAGAAAAAUGAGUUUGCAUGUUUAAUUUAA